GCUUUUCUAUAUAAAGUACAAUGGACAGACUGAAGCUGAAAAUGACAUCUGAACAUUAUGAAAUAUUACGCACGCUAAUAACUUAUAAUUAUUCUAAUUAUAGUUCAUCUAUAAUUAUUAUUGUAACUUAAAAUAGAAUCAGCGUAGAAAGUCCCCAUACAUGACACAGGAGGGAGGGGAGAGGACAGAGCUGUAUAUAAGGGGCUGGAGCUUUGGGGAGACACCAGACUGAUCCAGGACCAGAGCAGCACCAGUGGCUCCAACUGCCAGAACUGACCAUGAAAUACCUGGGAAUCCUGAUGCUUCUUGUACUCUCUGCAACUGUCAUCUCUGUCCAGUCGGCUGCGGUUUUCCCACCUUAUCAAUGUGACAACUGCAUGGACUGUUGUGACAAGUUUGUCUCUGACACGGUAUUCAACAAUCAGUUCUGCACACAUUGUAGAUCCCACUGCUGCGGCAGAAUAAAUAAUAUCCAAAGAUAAAAAGAGGCGACCAACUCAUAAUGGCAUCAAGCUUCCAGCAAUAACCCAGGACAUCUGACUGUAUUAUACCAACAUUAGAACAGAAGGAUUACGUUUGGAAUCCAGGAUAAUAGGGGUCAUCAAUAGCACGUUAUUGUGUCCUGACUUGAGCAUCAUCCAGAAGUGCAAGUUGAGGAGUAACAGGAGAGUCAUUCAACCAACAGUGCUCUACACGCUACACCUUUUCCUUGUUUGCAGAGUGCAGCAAGAACUUGACCACAAAUGCUUCUUGAAUGAACACCAAACAGAUUUAUUUUUGUUAUUUAACACUUUCAUGGGAUCAUGGUAAAUGACACCUAAUCCCAAUCAAUCACAACAAAUUAAACCUUUAUUUGAUUUAA